GCUAUACAUGCAAGUCGAGCGGACCGACGGGAGCUUGCUCCCUUAGGUUAGCGGCGGACGGGUGAGUAACACGUGGGUAACCUGCCUGUAAGACUGGGAUAACUCCGGGAAACCGGGGCUAAUACCGGAUGCUUGAUUGAACCGCAUGGUUCAAUUAUAAAAGGUGGCUUUUAGCUACCACUUACAGAUGGACCCGCGGCGCAUUAGCUAGUUGGUGAGGUAACGGCUCACCAAGGCGACGAUGCGUAGCCGACCUGAGAGGGUGAUCGGCCACACUGGGACUGAGACACGGCCCAGACUCCUACGGGAGGCAGCAGUAGGGAAUCUUCCGCAAUGGACGAAAGUCUGACGGAGCAACGCCGCGUGAGUGAUGAAGGUUUUCGGAUCGUAAAACUCUGUUGUUAGGGAAGAACAAGUACCGUUCGAAUAGGGCGGUACCUUGACGGUACCUAACCAGAAAGCCACGGCUAACUACGUGCCAGCAGCCGCGGUAAUACGUAGGUGGCAAGCGUUGUCCGGAAUUAUUGGGCGUAAAGCGCGCGCAGGCGGUUUCUUAAGUCUGAUGUGAAAGCCCCCGGCUCAACCGGGGAGGGUCAUUGGAAACUGGGGAACUUGAGUGCAGAAGAGGAGAGUGGAAUUCCACGUGUAGCGGUGAAAUGCGUAGAGAUGUGGAGGAACACCAGUGGCGAAGGCGACUCUCUGGUCUGUAACUGACGCUGAGGCGCGAAAGCGUGGGGAGCGAACAGGAUUAGAUACCCUGGUAGUCCACGCCGUAAACGAUGAGUGCUAAGUGUUAGAGGGUUUCCGCCCUUUAGUGCUGCAGCAAACGCAUUAAGCACUCCGCCUGGGGAGUACGGUCGCAAGACUGAAACUCAAAGGAAUUGACGGGGGCCCGCACAAGCGGUGGAGCAUGUGGUUUAAUUCGAAGCAACGCGAAGAACCUUACCAGGUCUUGACAUCCUCUGACAACCCUAGAGAUAGGGCUUCCCCUUCGGGGGCAGAGUGACAGGUGGUGCAUGGUUGUCGUCACCUCGUGUCGUGAGAUGUUGGGUUAAGUCCCGCAACGAGCGCAACCCUUGAUCUUAGUUGCCAGCAUUCACUUGGGCACUCUAAGGUGACUGCCG
rnacentral:rRNA from 1 species